GAUUGAACGCUGGCGGCAGGCCUAACACAUGCAAGUCGAGCGGAUGAAGGGAGCUUGCUCCUGGAUUCCGCGGCGGACGGGUGAGUAAUGCCUAGGAAUCUGCCUGGUAGUGGGGGAUAACGUCCGUAAACGGGCGCUAAUACCGCAUACGUCCUGAGGGAGAAAGUGGGGGAUCUUCGGACCUCACGCUAUCAGAUGAGCCUAGGUCGGAUUAGCUAGUUGGUGGGGUAAAGGCCUACCAAGGCGACGAUCCGUAACUGGUCUGAGAGGAUGAUCAGUCACACUGGAACUGAGACACGGUCCAGACUCCUACGGGAGGCAGCAGUGGGGAAUAUUGGUCAAUGGGCGAAAGCCUGAUCCAGCCAUGCCGCGUGUGUGAAGAAGGUCUUCGGAUUGUAAAGCACUUUAAGUUGGGAGGAAGGGCAGUAAGUUAAUACCUUGCUGUUUUGACGUUACCAACAGAAUAAGCACCGGCUAACUUCGUG
rnacentral:rRNA from 1 species